GUACCGCGAAACUGCGAAUGGCUCAUUAAAUCAGUUAUCGUCUAUUUGAUAGUACCUUACUACUUGGAUAACCGUGGUAAUUCUAGAGCUAAUACAUGCUGAAAACCCCGACUUCGGAAGGGAUGUAUUUAUUAGAUUAAAAACCAAUGCCCUCCGGGGCUCCCUGGUGAUUCAUGAUAACUUCUCGAAUCGCACGGCCUUGCGCCGGCGAUGGUUCAUUCAAAUUUCUGCCCUAUCAACUUUCGACGGCUGGGUCUUGGCCAGCCAUGGUGACAACGGGUAACGGAGGGUUAGGGCUCGACCCCGGAGAAGGAGCCUGAGAAACGGCUACUACAUCUAAGGAAGGCAGCAGGCGCGCAAAUUACCCAAUCCCGACGCGGGGAGGUAGUGACAAUAAAUACUGAUACAGGGCUCUUUAGGGUCGUGUAAUUGGAAUGAGUACAGUUUAAUUCCCUUAACGAGGAACAAUUGGAGGGCAAGUCUGGUGCCAGCAGCCGCGGUAAUUCCAGCUCCAAUAGCGUAUAUUAAAGUUGUUGCAGUUAAAAAGCUCGUAGUUGAACCUUGGGCCUGGCUGGCCGGUCCGCCUCACCGCGUGCACUGGUCCGGCCGGGCCUUUCCCUCUGGGGAGCCGCAUGCCCUUCACUGGGCGUGCCGGGGAACCAGGACGUUUACUUUGAAAAAAUUAGAGUGUUCAAAGCAGGCUUAUGCUCGGAUACAUUAGCAUGGAAUAAUGGAAUAGGACGUGCGGUUCUAUUUUGUUGGUUUCUAGGACCGCCGUAAUGAUUAAUAGGGACAGUCGGGGGCAUCAGUAUUCAAUUGUCAGAGGUGAAAUUCUUGGAUUUAUUGAAGACUAACUACUGCGAAAGCAUUUGCCAAGGAUGUUUUCAUUAAUCAGGAACGAAAGUUAGGGGAUCGAAGACGAUCAGAUACCGUCGUAGUCUUAACCAUAAACUAUGCCGACUAGGGAUCGGACGCUGUUGUCUUUUGACGCGUUCGGCACCUUACACGAAAGUACAAGUUUCUGGG
rnacentral:rRNA from 1 species